rnacentral:rRNA from 1 species
CAGAACGACGCUGGCGGCAUGCCUAACACAUGCAAGUCGAACGAGACUUCGGUCUAGUGGCGGACGGGUGAGUAACGCGUAGGAACCUGCCAAGCAGUGGGGAAUAACAGCUGGAAACGGCUGCUAAUACCGCAUACGCCCUUCGGGGGAAAGAUUUAUCGCUGUUUGAGGGUCCUGCGUUCGAUUAGCUAGUUGGUGAGGUAACGGCCCACCAAGGCGACGAUCGAUAGCUGGUCUGAGAGGAUGAUCAGCCACACUGGGACUGAGACACGGCCCAGACUCCUACGGGAGGCAGCAGGUGGGGAAUAUUGGACAAUGGGGGAAACCCUGAUCCAGCAAUGCCGCGUGCGUGAAGAAGGCCUUAGGGUUGUAAAGCGCUUUCACCUGUGAUGAUGAUGACAGUAGCAGGAGAAGAAGCCCCGGCUAACUCCGUG